AUAAUGGGUCAGCGACUUAUAUUCUGUAGCAAGGUUAACCGAAUAGGGGAGCCGAAGGGAAACCGAGUCUUAACUGGGCGUUAAGUUGCAGGGUAUAGACCCGAAACCCGGUGAUCUAGCCAUGGGCAGGUUGAAGGUUGGGUAACACUAACUGGAGGACCGAACCGACUAAUGUUGAAAAAUUAGCGGAUGACUUGUGGCUGGGGGUGAAAGGCCAAUCAAACCGGGAGAUAGCUGGUUCUCCCCGAAAGCUAUUUAGGUAGCGCCUCGUGAAUUCAUCUCCGGGGGUAGAGCACUGUUUCGGCAAGGGGGUCAUCCCGACUUACCAACCCGAUGCAAACUGCGAAUACCGGAGAAUGUUAUCACGGGAGACACACGGCGGGUGCUAACGUCCGUCGUGAAGAGGGAAACAACCCAGACCGCCAGCUAAGGUCCCAAAGUCAUGGUUAAGUGGGAAACGAUGUGGGAAGGCCCAGACAGCCAGGAUGUUGGCUUAGAAGCAGCCAUCAUUUAAAGAAAGCGUAAUAGCUCACUGGUCGAGUCGGCCUGCGCGGAAGAUGUAACGGGGCUAAACCAUGCACCGAA
rnacentral:rRNA from 1 species